GUUUUGAUGCCAUUGACAUAAUUUGACUGGGUUUAUUUUUGUCAGUUGCUAUUAGAGCAGAUAAAUAGAUAAUCUUGUUUGUACUUUUUAUGUUUCCUUUGCUUUGCUUUAGUGGAUAACAAAAGACUUUUAAGGGUUUUCCCCUUCAAUAGCUUCUUCAGAUGAAGUAAUGAGACUUGCGAUUCACAAACUGUUGCAUCUUUCUUGGCAUUUCUAG
rnacentral:misc_RNA from 1 species